GGGGGCGAACGGGUUCGACAGGGCCGGUUCGACCUUCGGUUGCGAGCCGAGGACGUCGGUUGGCCUCGUUAAUCAUCCGGCAAAAAGCAACUGCGAACGAAAGUUACGCUUACGCGGCCUAAAACCCCGCGGGUCCGCCUCCUCCCGAGUCGGUAGGGAAGAGAAUCGGGUCUAGCCAAAUCCGAACCGUCCGUGAAGCUUCUGUUCGGAGCGACCCGGCCUAAAACAAUCGAACUGGACGCCCGCCCAGGCGGCCCCGGCAGAGGGCGGCGUCGAGAAAAAGUACAGGGGAGACGCUCGUGGUGACUGAGGGACCGACGAUCUUGGAAGCGGGUUCAAUUCCCGCCGCCUCCACCA
rnacentral:tmRNA from 1 species